rnacentral:rRNA from 1 species
CCUACGGGAGGCAGCAGUGAGGAAUAUUGGUCAAUGGGCGCGAGCCUGAACCAGCCAAGCAGCGUGAAGGAUGACUGCCCUACGGGUUGUAAACUUCUUUUAUAAAGGAAUAAAGUGAGGCACGUGUGCCUUUCUGCAUGUACUUUAUGAAUAAGGAUCGGCUAACUCCGUGCCAGCAGCCGCGGUAAUACGGAGGAUCCGAGCGUUAUCCGGAUUUAUUGGGUUUAAAGGGAGCGUAGAUGGGUUGUUAAGUCAGUUGUGAAAGUUUGCGGCUCAACCGUAAAAUUGCAAUUGAUACUGGCAGUCUUGAGUACAGUUGAGGUAGGCGGAAUUCGUGGUGUAGCGGUGAAAUGCUUAGAUAUCGCGAAGAACUCCGAUUGCGAAGGCAGCUUACUAAACUGACACUGACAUUGAUGCUCGAAAGUGUGGGUAUCAAACAGGAUUAGAUACCCCGGUAGUC